GGCGGGGGACACUCAGAUCUGCCCCUCUCUGCAGGAACCUGGUUUCCCCACCCUGGAGGCCAGCGCCAAAGGACGUUCACGUGCAGCUCAACCACACAAUAUAAGAGCUACUGUCUCCAAUUAACACUUGGGGACACUGAGGCAAAGAGCCUGGCUGAAUAUUGUGCCCGUGAAGACAGAGGGACAGCCUAUUUUGUUUGCUGCUUUUGACCAGGGAGACAGCGUUCACUCAUGAAUUUAAGAAAAAAAAAAUCCCUGAUCCCUACUUUUUGCCAACUUCAAUGCUGAUUUCUAGUGGUACCAAGAAAAAUGCAACUGAGCCUCCAUCCUCAAGGGGCUCACAGUCUUGUGUGGAGAUAAAAAAUGCAGGCCUGCUGCAGAUCCAAGUCCUGUGACCGGGGUCCUGCCCAAGGGUCCUGCUUCCCUAGGCAUCCCAGAAGUUCAGCCUGCAUCUCGACCAGAGCCUGAGAGUAGACACCUGCCGGUUUAUCUGUCCCUUCAUGUAGCAGGUGACAGAGGUGCCAGGGGCAUGGCAGGGGUACUCUGACACAGCACUGCCCCACGGAGCCCAUGUCCCAGGGCAGAAGACCCACGAUGCACAGCCAGCCAGGUGGCCUCAUCCGAUCAGUCAAAGGCCUCAAUAGAACCAAGACUGACCUCUGCCAAAGAGAGAAUUCUUUCAGCAGACGGCCUUCGGACUUGAGCUAUGACGGCAACUCUUCCCCGGGCCCACCUGACGGACUGGGUUUCUCAGCCUCCACAGUCGUGUGAGCCAAUUCCGGCAGUCAGGGAAAGCCUCCUGGAGACUUGGGCAAGAGACCCAAAGGAAGUGAAGGGGCGGGCAAGAUGGGAGAAGAGCAUCUGGAACAGCAUGUGCAGAGACCCAGGGCCAGGGCUGUCACUGGCAUGUUCCGGGGCUGGAUAACUGCAGUCUCAGAGAAGACCCCCAGAAACCCAAAAUGCUUCCAGCCACAGAGGAGGAGAGCAGCUGGCAGCCAGAAGCAUCCAUUCCAAGUGAGAGACAUCGAAGGGAACAAGGCUUAACCGCCUUGUCUUUGAACAGCACUAAAUGAUUCAGCAAAAGGGAUGAGAGGAAACCUUUGGCCAUGUCACGGGUUCACAGCCAUCUGUAUAUGUUCCUAUAGUCCUGCUUUGUACCUCCAGCCUAAAUGAUGGGGAGGUCGUUUGAAGAUGAGACUGACCCUUCACUACAUGUGCUGCUUCCAACCCCAGAUUCCAUCAGGCUGCACUUCUGAGAUUCAGUGAACUCCCACUCAUCCUUCAAAACCCUAUCUCAAUGUCGCUGCCAUAGCAAAGCCUUCCCUGGCCCCCUCGGGUAGGGAGGGUCUCUCUGCCCACUGGCAGGCCAAGAAGGCCAAGCUCUGCCCUCUGAGAAUCCAUCAGUGUCCCAAGCUGACUUUCCCUAGCCUCGUAUCCCUUCAUUCCAUGAAAGGGGAACUUAGGGUGGAGUGGAAAUUUUGAUCAUCUAAAGGAACAAUAAUUGCUUUCAUUCAUUCAUUUAAACAAUAUGUAUUGAGCACCUACCAAGGACCAGGCCUUGUGCUAAGUGCCCCCACAGAGGUCACAAUAGUCAUAUACUACAAACAAAUACAGCAUCACAAAGGUUGGCGCAUGAAGAGACAGCAGCUAAGGGCAUGGUCCUGGAGCCAGAAUGCCUGGAUUUGAAUCACAGCUCUACUACUUCCCAGCAGCUUGUUGAGCUUAGCCAAGUCUCUAAGCCCCUCUGAGCCUCAGCUUUAUCACCUGUAAAAUAGGGAUAAAAGCAGCAUCUGCCCUAUUCAUCUGUUCACAGGAAUACAUGGCCUAUGGAGGGAAAGUACCCAGGCUCCUGAGUGGGCCCUCCUGGCCCACGGCAGAAGCCGUGUGCAUGUCUGUUCAACAGAUACCUUUGGUGGCCUGUAUGUACCAGGCGCUUCUAUUCUCUGCUGGUCAAGGAAGGCUCACGGUGGAAUAGGAUUUAGCCCCGGGAGAGACAGCAGGGGCAUUCUAAAGACAUCGACUAGCUGGCAUCCUGUGCCAGGCAUCCCAACCUUUUGCGCAUCGCGGCUCACCUGGAAAAGACGUGGGGGUGAGGAAGGAGGUGCCACCUGCAUGAGGCAUGGCAGAAAAGCAUGACAUCACCUUUAUAGUGCAAAGCUUGACAGGAAGAAUAAGAUACAAAGUACUUAAAGAAGAUAAUCGAUAUUGGAUGUGUAUUAAAUUUCCAAGGAAAAUAUUUUUAAAUAUGUAAAUUAAUCUUGAGUUGGCUUCUACAAGCAUAACUUUUUUUUUUCUUUUUUUUUAUUUUGAUACAGAGUCUCGUUCUAUCACCCAGGCUGGAGUGCAGUGGUGUGAUCUCGGCUUACUGCAACCUCCGCCUCCCGGGUUCAAGUGAUUCUCGUGCCUCAGCCUUUUGAAUAACUGGGAUUAAAGGCGCACAACACCAUGCCUGGAUAACCUUUGUAUUUUUAGUAGAGGCGGAGUUUCACCAUAUUGGCCAGGCUGGUCUCAAACUUCCAACCUAACCGGGACCCACCCUGAUCUGCCUGCCUUGGCCUCCCAAAGUGCUGGGAUUACAGGUGUGAGCCACCGCAACCAGCCUUACAAGCAUAAAUUUUUUUAUACCAAUGUACCAGGUUUCAUGCUUGAGCUGACUAAGCACAGUCCGGGAUCAGGAAUGUUUUUCAGGGGUCAGUCCUUUGGGUUCCUGACAGUCACCACUGAUGAGAAGCGGCCGGGCAGGCAGUAGUGGAUGAGGACCACCUGUGGCACUACAGAGAGCCCUCUGGUGGCAGGUGGGAUGUCGACUGGGCACAGCUGCUGUGACUGAAUCUGAAAGGUGACAGUGGUGCCAAAGUUACCUUCCAAUAAAAUUUCAACUGUUGCACGUUUUUGAA